CCAAUAGCGUAUAUUAAAGUUGUUGCAGUUAAAAAGCUCGUAGUUGAAUUUCGGGAUCAGACUGUCGGUCGUGCCUCGGUACGUACUGGCAUUAUUGGUUCCUACCUUCUGAAGAACCGCGAUGUCAUUAAUUUGGUGUCUCGGGGAAUCAGGACUGUUACUUUGAAAAAAUUAGAGUGUUUAAAGCAGGCUUGCGCUUGAAUACAUUAGCAUGGAAUAAUGAAAUAGGACGUUUGAUUCUAUUUUGUUGGUUUCUAGGAUCGACGUAAUGAUUAAUAGGGAUAGUUGGGGGCAUUAGUAUUCAAUUGUCAGAGGUGAAAUUCUUGGAUUUAUUGAAGACUAACUACUGCGAAAGCAUUUGCCAAGGAUGUUUUCAUUAAUCAAGAACGAAAGUUAGGGGAUCGAAGACGAUCAGAUACCGUCGUAGUCUUAACCAUAAACUAUGCCGACUAGGGAUCGGAUGAUGUUAAUUUUUUAAUGACUCAUUCGGCGCCUUACG
rnacentral:rRNA from 1 species